UACGGGGGGGGGCAAGCGUUGUUCGGAAUUACUGGGCGUAAAGGGCUCGUAGGCGGCCAACUAAGUCGGACGUGAAAUCCCCAGGCUCAACCUGGGAACUGCGUCCGAUACUGGAUGGCUUGAAUUCGGGAGAGGGAUGCAGAAUUCCAGGUGUAGCGGUGAAAUGCGUAGAUAUCAGGAGGAACACCGGUGGUGUAGACGGCUUACUGGACCACGACUGACACUGAGGCACGAAAGCGUGGGUAGCAAACAGG
rnacentral:rRNA from 1 species